AACAAACGCUGGCGGCGUGCCUAAUACAUGCAAGUCGAACGGGGAAAGCUUUCGGGUGAGUACUAGUGGCGCACGGGUGAGGAACGCGUGGAUAAUCUGCCUUAGAGUGGGGGAUAACUAGUCGAAAGAUUAGCUAAUACCGCAUAAGACCACAGGAGCUGCGGCUCAAGGGGUCAAAGGUUUUUCGCUCUAAGAUGAGUCCGCGUAAGAUUAGCUAGUUGGUGAGGUAACGGCUCACCAAGGCGACGAUCUUUAACUGGUCUGAGAGGAUGAUCAGUCACACUGGAACUGAGACACGGUCCAGACUCCUACAGGAGGCAGCAGUAGGGAAUAUUGCACAAUGGAGGAAACUCUGAUGCAGCGACGCCGCGUGAGUGAUGAAGGCCUUCGGGUCGUAAAGCUCUGUCGCAGGGGAAUAACACAAUGAAUGUACCCUGUAAGAAAGGAUCGGCUAACUUCGUGCCAGCCGCCGCGGUAAAAC
rnacentral:rRNA from 1 species